rnacentral:rRNA from 1 species
GACGAACGCUGGCGGCGUGCUUAACACAUGCAAGUCGAGCGGAGCGGCGCACGGGUGAGUAACGCGUGAGUAACUGCCCCCCUCUCUGGGAUCACAGUUCGAAACGGCUGCUAAUACCCUAUAGUGGGGGAUGAAUCGCGUCCUACCAGCUUGUUGGUGGGGUAGUGGCCUACCAAGGAGACGACGGGUAGCCGGCCUGAGAGGGCGACCGGCCACAUUGGGCUGAGCUACGGCCCAAACUGCUACGGGAGGCAGCAGUGGAGAAUAUUGCACAAUGGGGGAAACCCUGAUGCAGCGACGCCGCGUGCGAGAUGACGGCCUUCGGGUUGUAAACCGCUUUCAGCCAUGACGCGGUAGUGGCAGAAGAAGCACCGGCUAACUACGUGCCAGCAGCCGCGGUAAUAC